GGCAACGCAUCGGGCGAAGCAUCGGGCGACGCAUUGGGCGGAGCAUCGGGCGGAGCAUCGGGCGGAGCAUUGGGCGACGCAUUGGGCGGAGCAUCGGGCGACGCAUUGGGCGGAGCAUCGGGCGACGCAUUGGGCGGAGCAUCGGGCGACGCAUCAGGCGAAACAUUGGGCGACGCAUUGGCCGAUGCAUUGGCCGAUGCAUCGGGCGGAGGGCAUCAGUCGGGUUGGAGACGGAGUGGCCCGGUCCCCCUAACAACCGGCCGGCCCGGGCAGGGCGGCGACAUGGAGGAGCCGCAGUAGUUCAGGUCGUUGUUUCAGGGGAGCUUUGAGCUUCGUCGUGUCCUGUUUCCGUUGUGUUUUUAAACUAAGUGGACGUAGCGGCUCGUUCACGUUAUCGUCUCUCUUCUCUCAAACGUUCCCACAGCGAUGCUGAAGAGAAGAAAGAACACUAAGGGUUCACGUGUUCCCUUCGCCGGUCGGUAAGCCCCGCCCCCGACCAUGGACGCAGACAAGACGAAGCGCCAACGUUCAUUUCUGUCAAAUGAACAUCGCACCACCAAAAAUGAUCAUUGUCCUACAUUGUGCGAUAUGUCAUAUAUUGCAUAUGGCGACCUACUGAAGAGGACUCAGCAAGACAGAAAAGUGAAGGGACAUAUAGACAGACAAGGCCAGGAGACAGACAGGUACAGACUCACCUGAGAGCACAGGCCCUGACACUGGGAGAGAGAUACAUUUGGCGUUGUCCUCCACUGGUCCAGUCAUGUGACUCCUUAGCUCCGUCAGAUUGGCUGAAGAGCUUCAGGACUCUGUUGACGGCACCCCACGAACACCUCACCUGUCCUCCGAUGGACAGUCAGGUGUGUGAGGGGAGGAGUCAAAGGCCCGGUACACCACCCUGCCCGACGCCACGGAGGGGGAGGGAGAUGCAGCCGGGGCAGAGAGGAGGGGGGAGGAGAGGAGCAUAGGGGAAAGGAGGAGGAAGAGGUGGAGCGGAGAGGCACAAGGAAGCAUGGUGGAAAGAGAGGAGGAGAGGAGGGAGGAGAAGGUUGGCUGCAGGUCUGACGAAGAGUCAACUUCAAAGGAGCAUCAUGACUGUGGAGAGAGAAACAUUGAUUUAACUACACGCAGUCUACCUCAUCCUUAUCAUCACAUGUCAUUUAUCUGACGCUUUUAUCCAAAGCGACUUACAAUAAGAACAUUUCAACCAUAAGGACACAAACUCAGAAGAACAAGAAACAAGAAAGUGUGAUUUCAUCAAAUAAGCCAGUUUACAACUCGCUGUAGAUAAGAACCAUUAUGAGUCCAAUGUCAGUGCUACAGUUAGUUAGUGUGUUAGUGGAGGUAGAGUCUGAAGAGGUGUGUCUUUAGUCUGAAGAUGUGAAGGCUCUCUGUGGUCCUGAUGUCUUCAGAGACCUCCUUCCACCAUUUAGGAGCAGGACAGCAAAGAGUGGAGAUCUAGUGGAGUGUUUUGCUCUCAGUGAGGAGAAACAAGCAGUUUAUCACAUGCAGAGCGGAGAGUGCGGUCGGGGUGUCGGGUUGGACCAGGUCCUGGAUGUAAGCUGGACCCCAUCCAUUCACAGCGUGAUACGUGAGCACCAGUGUUCUGAACUGUGAUUAGUUGGUGUCAUCGGCAUCGCUGUGGUAGGAGAAGCCAUGCGAGCGAAUGACAGCGCAGAGAGAGUUGGUGUAGAGCGAGAAGAGGAGGAGACCCAGGACGGAACCCUGAGGAACUCCAGUAGUAAGAGGACAAGGUUCCGACACAGAUCCUCUCCAGGUUACCCGGUAGGUGCGGCCGUCGAGGUAGGACGAGAGAAGCGAGAGAGCAGAGCCUGAGACACCAAGUUCCUGAAGGGAGGAGACGAGGAUCUGCUGGUUGACUGUGUCAAAUGCAGCAGAGACGUCCAGAAGGACGAGGACAGAGGAGAGAGAGGAGCUCUAGCACCUCAGGUCUACCGCUGGUUUAGAGCAUCUUAUUAGUUACAAUUAGCUCUCACACAGCGUGUCGAGUGUGUUCCAGGCCAGUUGUUGAUCUGCUUCAGUCCGUCUCAUCUCUGAAUUCUCACAAAGCUCCAGUAACACGGAGCUCGACGGACACACGCAUUACUCCCAGAUGGUGUUAGUGAUGAUCAAUAAUGUUAUUAUCAAACAACAAUAUUCUUAAUUUUAAAUGUGCUCAAGACUUGAAGAAGUAAAAACAUCUGAAUGAUAAAAUGUGUUUACAACUUAAGACAUGUUUGACUUCUCUCUGCUGCUCCUUGAUGGAGCUCUGACACGCUGCUAAAGACACACACACACACACACACACACACACACACACACACACACACUCUCCCUCUCUGGACUCCCUUCAGCUCAGCAGACUAAUUAACUAAUGGGCUGAUCUUUCACUGCCUCUUUGUGUUCACCCGUGCGUGUCUGUGUGUGUGUGUCUGUGUGUGUGUGUGUGUGUGUGUGUGUGUUUGCAGACAGGCAGCUGGGCAGACAGACUGGACCACGAUGUCAUCAGACCAUCCAUCACCUUACUGAGUGUGUGUGUGUGCGCUAACGUGAAGCUAACCGCUAACCCGAGCUCAUGCUGCGUCGGUAGAUGGAUGGAUACACACUUUAUUAAUCCCUGAUAGCAGCAACACAGUAAAUAAAAUGAGAAGAGCAGAACAUAUUACAUUAAAUUAGUGAAGGUGAGACAGGAGUGUGUACAGUUAAAUGAGAAAAUGAAAGACAGUAGUGCAGUGUGAUGAUAUUUGUUGUUCAAAUAUACAAGGAUUCAUCCAGAGGUACUACGCUGUGUUCUGUUGGCAGGAAUGUUUUCCUGUAUCCGUCCGUGUGACGGCGGAGCUGCAUCAGCCUGUUGGAGAAGAUGCUCCGUGUCGCAGCAGUAGGUGGUGAAGAGGCUGGUCCCUGUUUUCAGUGUCCUCCUCCCCACCACCUGUUCAGGAUGCUCCUGUUGGCAGCCAAUGAAGCAGUGUUCAUUUUGGCAGCUAUUUUUGAUUUAGUCUUUAUACGAAAAAUGCAUAUUGUAUUACAUUUGGUCAUUUUAAUCCUUCUUAGUUUUAGUCCCAUUUAACAUCCACAUUAAACUCAUUUUCUUCCCUUCUCAGGCCCAGAGACCCCUGUGGUGUGUCUACAGCUGCAUAAUAGUCCAGCUUGCAGUACUUGGUUGUCCAUCAGAUGUCCCUCCUAGGACAGGCCUAUAGAUGUCCCUCCUAGGACAGGCCUAUAGAUGUCCCUCCUAGGACAGGCCUAUAGAUGUCCCUCCUAGGACAGGCCUAUAGAUGUCACUCCUAGGACAGGUCUAUAGAUGUCCCUCCUAGGACAGGUCUAUAGAUGUCCCUCCUAGGACAGGCCUAUAGAUGUCCCUCCUAGGACAGGCCUAUAGAUGUCCCUCCUAGGACAGGCCUAUAGAUGUCCCUCCUAUGACAGGUCUAUAGAUGUCCCUCCUAGGACAGGCCUAUAGAUGUCCCUCCUAUGACAGGUCUAUAGAUGUCCCUCCUAGGACAGGUCUAUAGCAGGUCGGCAGACUUUUUGACUCGCGGCCACAAUGGAACAAGUGGUUGAAGUGUUUGUGUGAGCUGAUAUAAAUGACAUGUGAAUCAUCACAUGAAAGGAUUUGGAUUUUAACAAAUAGCAAAGCAUUUAUUUGAAAGGCAAUUUAACAAAUUGGCAAAGGUGUAACAACUUCAUGAGGACCAGGGACCUAAACGCAACACUUUGUUGUCUUUGUCUGUUUACUUGAAUGCUUUUGACACUUCAUGCUCCUUUAUUGUUUCCACUGUCCCAACUAAAGAGACCUUAACGUCCUACAAUCGCUGCAGGACAUUAUUUGUGGCGCCUCUACGUUGCUUAGUAACGAGCGUACGGUGGCCGAGACGGUUUAACGUCUUCUCACGAUGUGACGCGUGAACUACAGUAGAAACGCGUGAGGCUUCAGAACCUGCAAUGACUUUAUUACGUUAGACGUGUUUGUGACGGAGCGUCUCAUCCAGCGAGGAAACGCUGCCGUCGCCAGAGAACAGAGCAGAAAGGUCCGACGGUCUUUAAACGUGUCUUCAUGUUUCUGUGAAGCAGCGCGGCUUCAGCCCGCUAACAGGCAGCUAACAGGCAGCUAACCCGAGACAGCUGAGCUAAACUAACGAAGCCGCGUUCAAACUCGCCGCAGCGUAAAAUAGUCGUCGCAGUCCGUAGUCGGUGCACAAGAAGCACCGCUGUGCGCGAGCGUUCUGGGUUGGUGGAGGACGUCAUCAUGACGCGUUAACAUCCGCCGUACUCUGUCUGUUGUCUGUCGUGACUUCGUCAACCACCAUGUUCGUCUCGUCUCGUUAACGAAAGUUAGAAUAGAUUUAGUCAUAGUUUUUAUUUUUUAAGAUUGUCUUCGUCUCGUCUUAGUCGUGAAAAAAAGGUUAACGAACAUUUUUCGUCAUAGUUUUCAUCGGCGAAAUUAACACUGUACAGAGGAGGCGGCCUUCUUCACCAGCUUCUUGGUAGUGGUAUUGCAGCCCCACAGGGAACAGUUUCCCUGUUAUAGAAGCAUCUGAAGAGCUGAGAACCUUGAGGACAUCGUGGUUUACUUACAACCACAGCUCUGGUACCUUUAACUUGCUGCUCUCAAGAUGUCUUCAACCAUUGCGGCAUCUCCACAAACCCCUGAUGAAGAGGACAGGAGGCAGCCAGCAUGCAGGGGGUCCAACAAAGGGACCCUCCCAGCAGGAGGUCCUCCGACCACACAGCGCGUUUACACCAACCGACUCAAGUCAAACGCGUGAUUGUCUCCUUUAGCUUUUUAGUACCGAUGGACGAAGGAAGCCGCUGGAACGACGAUCAUCUGGCUUCACGGCUCCAACGGCCAGAGAAAUAACUGCUGCGUUAGCUGUGUGUGUGUGUGUGUGUGUGUGUGUGUGUGUGUGUGUGUGUGCGCGGCUGUCGUUACCAAAGUCUCCACCCUCUGACCCUUAUUUCAUUGGAGGACACGCUGCUGGACGUCUGAACACGUCUGAGUCUGGAGCUCCUACACGAGCAUCUGAGAGGCUUCACCACGCGUUGGCCUCAGGGGGGUUUUAACCAGAGACACACGAGACAAAGAGACAAAAACUGGACCAGAGACACGCGUGCGUUCAACACACACGCUUGCUGAGUAAAUACUGCUCCACUAAGUUGUAGCUGCUCGUGACGUUUUGACCUCUUUUUGUCUUCAUGCCGCCAGAUCCAAAAGAAAACAUUGACGCCCAACAGACGGUGACCUUUGACCCCUUUGCACCGGCUUCACAUAGUCGGUUCCUGCUUCGACUGGUAACCAAGGCGAUAAAUGAACGAAUCAUCAACUAUUUCCUGUGAACGGACCAAUGAUGCAUGCAAAGGAUGGUCCAGUGGUUCCUACGCUAAAUCAUCUCAGUAAGGAAGCAUUGAAGCUCUUAUCCUGGAGCCACUUCCACUCCUUCACUUCCUUUCUCCCAGUGAGGAACCUUCCUGAGAAGAAAGGACCAUUCAAAUCCAGCCCAGCUCUGCAUCGGAGGCUGGCGUCUAGUCUUCACGCGCUAGUCUAGAAAAAUGGGUCGACGCACGCAAGGAGGUGUGAAAAGACACGCAAGGGACACGCAAGGGACACGCAAGGGGCACUUAACUCAGCUUUACUGAUUCUCCUUUACACCUCCAGCUGGUGACAUGGCUGCUGUGACAUCACAGGGAGGGGGCGGGGCCACAGACGAGAUGAGGUGUUUACAUUCUUUACUUCGAGCCAGCGAGUGAGACGUCUCACUCCUCAACCACGUCAACCGUGGAGUCUUCAGAAGCCCGCUGGUCCAUCAGCUUGCUUCUCAAUGUCCUCAUGUGGGCUUCUGUUGCCGAGCAACUAAUGCAGUUACCAACGUGAGCCAUGUUUUUAAAGAGUCCCGCCGUGAGACAGACUUCAAGCAUUAAGUCAUCAUCACACAGCCGUGACCUCUGACCUCUGCUUGAUUAAAAGCAAUAGAACGGUGAUAUUAUGACCGAUGACACAUUCGUUUUUUAUAUAUUUAAAUGGUUCCAUUUAUUCACAAGACAAGCCUGGUCACAUGACCAGAACCUACAGGAAACAUACAGUGGUAUGAUCACACACACACACACCCACACACACACACACACACACACACACACACUUCCUGUCGCCUCGUUCUCUCCUUACAUGCUGAUGACAUCACCCUCUCUGUACGCAAUCAGCUGUCAGAUGAGCUGAUACAAGAAGAAGAGGAGAUAUGAAACACACACACACACACACCUUUAAAGACCACUAAAUCAUGAUGAAAUAUUCCUGAUGUGCGAGUUAUUAUCGAUGGAUAAAGAGUAUUAUGGAACAUGUGACAUUUAAGACGUUUACUAUUUAACAUCUGGCAGAAACAGAUGGAACCUCGGUUCGAUUCGAGGAAUUCAUCAUUUAUUUCUGUGUUUUUAUGACUCUUUUCUCUACUUGUGUGUAUGUGUGUAUGUGUGUAGGUUAGGGCUGAGCGAUGUGCGAUUCAUCCGUUAUACGCACAUAACCGCACAAUCAUGGUUAUAACUUCAGACCAACAAUUAAUAACGCACAAAUAACGCUCUCUACCAGCGUAAAACACCACGACAACAGCUUGUGACACAAUUACAUCUGCAUUUAUACUCUAAUGUGAUCAUGAGAACACACAUACACACACAUGCAUUUGACCUCUGAAAGGAGGAAACACACACAGACACACACAGGAAGUGAAGAGGGCAGCUGAUUGUUUCCUGCUUGUUCCUCAGUUCAUCCUGAGUGUGUAACAUCUAAUGCAGACAGACUGACAGACAGACAGACACAGACAGGCAGGCA
ensembl:lncRNA